GACAGAGGGUGCAAACGUUGUUCGGAAUUACUGGGCGUAAAGCGCGUGUAGGCGGCCAAGCAAGUCGGAUGUGAAAGCCCUCGGCUCAACCGGGGAAGUGCACUCGAAACUGCAUGGCUAGAGUCUCGGAGAGGAUCGUGGAAUUCUCGGUGUAGAGGUGAAAUUCGUAGAUAUCGAGAGGAACACCGGUGGCGAAGGCGGCGACCUGGACGGACACUGACGCUGAGACGCGAAAGCGUGGGGAGCGAACAGG
rnacentral:rRNA from 1 species